AGUCGGAAUUCCACGAACAUUCCAUUAGAAUGUCUGAAAGAAUCAGCAUCACACACUAAUGAUGUCACAGCAGUGCACUAUUAAUGAAGCCGCAGGAGUCCAUGAGCCACACUCAUCUAGAAAUUGGAAAUUUACUGUAAUUAGUGUUGGAUUAUAGUGGCUUGUGAUAACAAUGGCUUGUGAUAAUAGAGUUCAGUCAGACAGUUACCGAGAACUGGCUUCUGCGGCCCAUUUGGCUGCACAACUUGCUGUACCACAGCUGAAGGAUGCCACUUUUCAGUCAGUCAUCUGCAACUUUAUGUGGAAUUUGACAGAGCAGAAUUUGGAAGUGAUACAGGCAGCAUUAAGCUACCCGUUCUCCAGACAGCAAAUCUAUCAAAUGCUGACUUCCAUUGUAACAUCAGCCGCCACAACUACAACUGAUUUAAUACCAAAACUGUCUAUGAUAGUAGGAAUGACUCCGUCUGCAGUUGUAAACUCAAACAGGCCAUCAGCGUCCUCGUCCACUGAGGAUAAUCAUCAGGACACACCAGAAAGACCAGUGAUCCUGAAGAUGGAACAACUUCCAUAUGUGUAUCCACUUGAAUCACAUUUUGGGAUCACGGUGGAUGGUCUCCUCAGCAGCGCUGACUGCGAUUUCAGCGACUCUCUGGGUAAAGACAACUCGCGUUCUUCUGAACUCGCUGGCAUUGUGGUGGAGGAAGUUCUUCACCGGGUGAAUGUGGUGAUGCACAACAGCGUCCUGAAGAUCAAUGCAGCCUCGUCACCAUGCUUCGUUUACUUCCGCCCUGAUGAUUCCUGCACUGAUGUUGGGGAGUUACUGAUCAGUGGUGUCACCCGAAAGCUGAGUGCUUUACAUUGCCACAUCUCCCGCGCAGUGGCCACGACAGCCAUCGGCACGGUUCUUGCAGCAAUAGAAGGCAAACUCCCAUGCGCUCUGAGCCCGAGCCAUUGGGUGGAGGUCACAAGCAAUGUUAUUGACUACAUUGUGGAGGAUGUCAUUAGCGCCUGGUCAAACAAUCCCACUGCAGCAUCCAGAUUAUUGGAAACCAUGCCUGUCCCAGUUCUGAGGCCGACUUUUGAGUCAUCUGAGAUAGGAAUGUCACUCAUCCUGCUGGAAUCAAAUCAUCCCUCAUGCAGUGACAGGCCAAAGACCAGCUUAUUUGAUUCACUUAUGACCGCUCUAUAUGUGUCGAAGUGCAGCGGUCACUUCAGCUCACAGGACAACAGUCACGCAGCCUCGGAGCGUCUGCAUCAAAGAUUUGCCGAUUUAAUGAACUGCGUCUUACGAAGCAAAUCGAGUGUCUCGAAGGAGGUCAGAAUGGCAGCUAUAGACUUUCUCCAUUAUUUUGUGGAGGAACUCGUGCAGCGGCUUUUUGUGUCCUCCGCUUUCCCCCGUCCUACGACACUCCCUGAAAAUACUCCAGUAAUGCCCUUCAUCAUCACAGAAGAGGAUUUUGGUCUGACAGUGGUGGAUCAUCUGACAGAGCUGCUGGUCAGUCAAGUUUUCGACGUGCUGGGAAAGAGAUUUCCAUCUGGUGAAUCUAUCAAGACUGAUCAGAAGAGUCAUGACGUGUCAAUACAGGAGGAUCUACCAGAACUGACCUUCAGAGAGAAACUAAAGAUGAUGAAAUCAAACGUCCUUAAAAAGCUUAAGAAUCCUUUCAGAUCCAAGAAGGAGAGCGAGAACAAGGAUGAUGAUGAGGAAACAACAGAGGAGAACGCAGACGGAAAUACAACAGCUCCAGAACCCAAAGAGAAGAAGUCCUUUUCAGGGUUCACGGUUUCCUUUUCCAUGAAAAUAAAGUAUCUUGCAUGAUUUUAGUCUGCAAGUGCUUUUUUUUGCCCCCAAAGAAAUCCUUGCAGCUUGAGGUUGCAACAGCAGGGCUGGCUGCGCAGGAGCCCCUAAAUAUAGUCACUGAGAGUCAUUAGAGAUCAUUACUGCUCUAAUGUCCUUAGAAAUUUGAAAAAUAUGUAAAAGCAAGCCGCUGGGUUCAUAUCUAUAACAUCUGCAGAAGUUUGUGUUGUUGCAUGUGUGUGUGUGUGUGUGUGUGUGUGUGUUGAACACAGACACCUUGGUAGACUCUCUCUCUCUCUCUCUCUCUCUCUCUCUCUGUGUUUUUGUAUUUCAUGUAUUCUCUCUAUGUAAAGGUUUACGUGCAUAUGUAUUUUUGCACUUUGUUAACAUUUAGCACUUUGUUUUAAGGUACAGAAAUAUAUGUACAAAUAAAGAA
ensembl:lncRNA